GGCCUUUCUAGGAGCCAGCUUGCUUUCAUCUUACUGUUUUGAUUGUGCCUCACAAGGGACAACACUCCGAUUGUCUAGGAGGAGGAAGGUCAGGGACAGAAAAGUAAAAGCCAGGAGCAGCCUGUCCUGUCUGCCUGGGCUGCUGGGGAAUGAUUGUCAGUGAAUCGAGUUGUCUGUGGAGCCCCUGAGCAAAUUCUCCCAGUGGCAGCAGAUCUCGCAAAAGGGGAGGAAGGCCUUCACCGCUGAACCCGAGCUUUGCCAUUUCGAAGUGCUGAGUCACCUCGUCCUCUCAGGGUCAGACACUUUCACGCAGGAAACGUCCUGCAGAGCACCGCAGCGGGAGCACCGAGCUGACCUGGAAGGAGAGAACAAGGGCCUUCCUGAGGCAGGACAAGGACCCAGAACUACCCAGAAUGCAGCAGGGCGGCCCCGCACGACUGAGCUCUGAUCCUAACCUGCAAAGUGAAGUUUCAAUUUCCACUUCCUGAGAAGGUCAGGUGUAUAGGUGUGAACCAAGUGCACGUCUAGUUCCCUUGGAGGCCAGAAAGAAGGCGGUGUCAGAUCCCCAGGAACCAUAGUUACAGAUGGUUGAUGUGGAAACUCAGAGAGGAUGCCACUGUUUUGAACUAUUUUGAAGGCACAGCCACCAGAGCUUUAGGUGAGUGACUCUAUGCUUAUAGGCCCAAAUGUAUCUUCACCCCCUCUCACUCCCUGCGCUGUACAGUUUCCCAUUACCCAACAUGCACUUCUGUUAGCAGCUGACUCUUUCCUAAACCUAUUCCUCCAGGGACUUACUUAGCUAGACAACCAGCUUUUCAGUUUCUUCCUUAUUUUCCUACCUAACUUUAUUAAAUUAAAUUGUUUAUUUUUUGAGACAGGGUCUCACCUUGUAGCCCUGAAUGACUUGGAAUUUGCUGUGUAGACCAGGUUGGCUUUGAACUCACAAUUCUCCAUCUGCCUCUGUUCCCAAAUGCUGGGAUUAACAGUCUAUGUCACACAUACCUAGUCUUCCUUCCUAGCUUUCUAUUUUCAGGAAAUGUCUCUUGGGACUCAGUCUAUCAAGACAGGGGUGGAAGUGGAGCUGGCCAGUGGAGUGUUGGGACAAAGCUCUGAGUGGAGCCCUCGAGUUUAAAACGGAAUCUUAGAGAGGACGUGUUUACUCCUGCAUUAUAGAGCACGGACGCUCAUGACUCAGUUUGAUUUUCAUACACCGUUCUGCUCAUCACUGCCAAGUGGAGCAAUCCAGGCCUCUCAAAAUGUGCCAUACUACCUUCCAGCUAAAAGCUUUCUGUGGGGCUGGCGAGAUGGCUCAGCGGGUAAGAGCACCCGAUUGCUCUUCCGAAGGUCCAGAGUUCAAAUCCCAG
rnacentral:lncRNA from 1 species